ACCUACCUUUCUUUCCCGACGCUGCCCUAUCAGGAGAAGAGAUUGCGUCGGCUUUGCAGGUAGAUGGAUCGCUUCAGAUCGGUGUUGUAAUGGUCGGCUUGAAGGCAUCGAACGAAGAGGGUUUCUUGGGCCAAAGAGUUGCAUCAGUGUACCAGCACAUAGUAUGUUGGUGUGUACCAAUGUUUCGAUGAGGAAGAAAAAGAGGGUGAAGAGGAAGGGAUGGCGAAGGAACAAAAGAGAAAGGAGGAAGGAAGAAGAAGAAAAAAGAAUAGGACGUGAAGAAGGAGAAACAACAACGAAGAGGCAGCAUAAUAGCUAAAGUCAAGUCAUUAAGUAAGUAAGAAAAUUUGUAAUACUCUCGAGCUUAAUCUCAUAUCAAGAUGGGUAAAAACUUAAUGAGCAUAUUAUUAUCAACUUGGGUCUAGGCAUUUUGGAUCAAUGGUUUAAGUCCAACGAGUUGAUAGAUCAGUUAUCCUAUUGGAUUAAGUUGUUAUGGUUAUUGUAAUGUCUCCUUUACGAAGAAUUAAGCCAGUUUUGUCUA